rnacentral:rRNA from 1 species
GAUGAACGCUAGCGGCAGGCCUAACACAUGCAAGUCGAGGGGCAUCGCGGUGCAGCAAUGCACUGGCGGCGACCGGCGUACGGGUGCGUAACGCGUAUGCAACCUGCCCCAGACUCUGGGAUAACAGUUGGAAACAGCUGCUAAUACCGGAUACGAGACGGAGAGGCAUCUCUACCGUCUGGAAAGUUUUUCGGUCUGGGAUGGACUCGCGGCCUAUCAGCUAGUUGGUGAGGUAAUGGCUCACCAAGGCGACGACGGGUAGCCGGCCUGAGAGGGCGACCGGCCACACUGGGACUGAGACACGGCCCAGACUCCUACGGGAGGCAGCAGUGGGGAAUAUUGCACAAUGGGCGAAAGCCUGAUGCAGCGACGCCGCGUGAGGGAUGACGGCCUUCGGGUUGUAAACCUCUUUCAGCAGGGAAGAAGCGAAAGUGACGGUACCUGCAGAAGAAGCACCGGCUAACUACGUG